rnacentral:rRNA from 1 species
CCUACGGGAGGCAGCAGUGAGGAAUAUUGGUCAAUGGACGAGAGUCUGAACCAGCCAAGUAGCGUGAAGGAUGACUGCCCUAUGGGUUGUAAACUUCUUUUAUAUGGGAAUAAAAUGUUCCACGUGUGGGAUUUUGUAUGUACCAUAUGAAUAAGGAUCGGCUAACUCCGUGCCAGCAGCCGCGGUAAUACGGAGGAUCCGAGCGUUAUCCGGAUUUAUUGGGUUUAAAGGGAGCGUAGGUGGAUUGUUAAGUCAGUUGUGAAAGUUUGCGGCUCAACCGUAAAAUUGCAGUUGAAACUGGCAGUCUUGAGUACAGUAGAGGUGGGCGGAAUUCGUGGUGUGGCGGUGAAAUGCUUAGAUAUCACGAAGAACUCCGAUUGCGAAGGCAGUUCACUGGACUGCAACUGACACUGAGGCUCGAAAGUGUGGGUAUCAAACAGGAUUAGAUACCCGAGUAGUC